AAUGAAUUAUCUAAAAAUUGAGAAGAGGCACCUUGGAAUGUGGGAUAUUGGGUCCCUUCCUGUCCAUCUAAGGACACAGUGAAAGCGCACUAUAUACUGUGUUGUUCGAUAAUGAAAGUUGCCAGCAACAGUUAUCAAUCAGGGAUAAAGAAGAAUAAGAAAUGUGGGCAAAGUGGAAACAAAGCUGCUCCUAUUUUCCUUUUCUUUCAUCAUUUCGAUUCUCAUUUCAUAUCACACUCUCAAUUAAUCUGUACCAAAAAAACACUCUCAAUUAAGGUUUUGGCUUCGGUGGUGCACCACCAUGGUACAGUUGAAUAGUAGCCCUUGGAUAAAUAAAUAUAAAAAUGGAUGGUGUAGAUCUGUUACCGGGUAAAGGCUUCAGAAUUGUACUUCAGGUUUCAACAGAAUGUAUAAUAUUGCAAAUUAACCCCUAGCUUCAAUCUAAGUAAGGUGUAUUAUUUGGGUCUAUUAUUUAUCAAACUUAUCAAAUCAGAAACUCUUUUUUUUUGGAACUCAUCAAACCAGAAACUGGAAAGAACCAUUUUGUAAAAUGGUUUUGAAAUUGUAACCUGAGGAUUGAACCACGGUGGGGGAAGCAUAAGGUGAAGCUGUCGUCGACCACCGGAGCUCCCUCUUCUCCCUCCUCAUUCUCUUCAUCACCCUCUUCCGAACCCUAACCCCAAAUCCCUCGCCACAACCGCGCCUAUUUGGAAUCUCGUCUAUGCUCCAAAGGGUGGCUGUGGAUCGAGCGGCGGAACCCGGCGGCGAAGUAUCCGACUGACUUCAGUGUGGUUUCGAUCGGGGAAUUGGGGGUGGUUGAGGAGAUUCAGAAAUUGGGGUUGGUGAAGUAUGUGAGCUUGGAUAUGAGCUAUACGAGGGGUUUGAUGAAGCAUGGAAGAGGUGAAGAUUGUUCCUUUGUUGAUGGGAACAAGCGCCCUGGGAAGAUCUUCACCAAGCUAUACCAGAUUCAUUGAUCUUUGGUUCGUCUCUUUGGUUUGGGUAAUAUUUGCUUUCAGAUAUUUAAUUUUAGAUCUAUGAUUUCGUUAAUUUGUAUAAAUCAUGAUGAAGCAAUUUUUUUUGAAUCUUUUGUGUGGUAUAUUUGAUUAUUUUACACAAAAUAAAAGAUUUGAUAGCUUGGAGUUUUUUCAUUAAUUAUAACCAUCUAUCAAAGUGAAAUAUGUGAAUUCAAUCUGAUAAUUAAUAAAUUAAUUGAUCAGGGGGAUAUAGUAAGGGGAUUCUAGAACCGGAUUCUAGUGUUGCUGCUGAAAGUUAUAUAUACUCAAAAACAAAAUUGAGUAAAACAUGAACAAGAGCUUUCUCCAUUUCCUUGUUAGUUUGUGUAUGGGUGUUAGUGGAGGUUAUAUGACAGGAGCAUUUUUUAUAACAGUAGGAACUUCUGUUAAACCAGAUUCUUUAAUUUGUAAAGUUGCUAGAAGUUGAUCUUUUAAGUAACUUGAAUAAGAUGAUGAGAAAGAGAAUGAAGGAAAUGGUGGAAAUAGAGUCUCCAAGGUUCGCAAUAUACAACAGAUUAUUCGAAAUGGCAACGAGAAGACAACACGAUCCAGCUGAAGCAAUCUGUGGACUAACAGGCAAAGAGAGCUUCACCAACAGAUAUUAACAGAUACUUCUAAAUAAAAAAUCAGCUUUGUAAUGGUGUCCAUUCUCUUUGCUUCCAAGCAUCAAAAUUGAAGGACCAAUGCCUUUGUAAGGCGCAGAUCAGGGACCGGUUUUUGUAUUACCUCCACACAUGACUGGACUUGGAAGCAGGUGGAGGGCAAAGACAGACACAAGAAGGUAGAGACCUAGUUUGAAGGAAGCCAUGUGGCUGAAUUAAUAGUGCAACAGUUGUACUUACUAGUGAAUGCCUUAAUUAUCUGAGUUCAUUUGAUUAGGAUAGAGGGUUACCAUUAUAUAAGACCCAGGGGAGGGUAGAGGGGAGGAAAUAAAAGAAAAAGGUUGGUCUUGCAGCAUUGGUUUUUUGUUAUUCUUUUUUGUCAGGAGCCACAUUUUGGGUUUAUGUAAAAAAAAAUUGUUUAAAUAUUACUUAAUUAAGAAAUAUAAUUCAUUACCAGAACUGGGGAAAGAGGGAAUUAGGCCACGGAUUUGGGUUGGGAGAAUAAGUGGCUUCAAUUUUUGUCAGGAGCUACAUGUGGCUCACAUUUGCUGUGAUGUGAAUUCUUAAGAUGUUAGUUGAGUUUGGUGGUUGAGAGUGUAAAUGUUUGUGUAUAUGUUCACACCUACCAACAAUAAACUUGCUUGUAUAGCUCUUUACAGGAUUGUCCACUAUAAGUAGGUCAUGAAGUGCACUCACAUCUAGUGCACCAUCACAUUGAUUUAGAAGAACUUAAAAUUAACACUAUCAUGUCUGACUCGUCCAACUUUGUAGCAAUUCGAACACCAAGGCCAAGCAAGACAUAUGUGGUCUUUAAAGGCCGACAGCCGGGCCUGUAUUCGACCUGGGUUGAGUGUCAUGCACAAAUCCAUGGUUAUACUGGAGCUGCAUAUUGUGCUUUUGUUUCCAGACAGGACGCAAAUUCUGCAUGGUUACGUUACUUGAAUUGUUUGUCGUAGCGGCGUUAUAGUUUCGAGCGCAACAACGGCACUAGAUAAUCCAGAAGAUGGUAGGCUUUGUUGCAGACUGUGUUUAGGAUUUCUUGUAUUUUUUAUGUUUAGGAUAUGUAGUAGAUUUGCAUUGCAGCAGAACUUUGUAAGGAGCUUUUUAUGUUUAUGUUGAUGAAUUGUGUUUGAAGGA